rnacentral:siRNA from 1 species
GGAGCCUGCGGCUUAAUUUGACU